GCUUCAUCAAUUCCUCACAUGGACGUGAACCCCAGCGCAUGGACCAAAGCAUUCAAGCACGUGGGCCCCGCCACAGCAACUCUUCCCCAGCGCAUGGACCAUGGACCAAAGCAUUCACAGUAGACCCGCCAAUGCAAUGCUCUCACGUGGACCGCACUUCAUCUCUUGCCCAUGGCCCGCUUCCCUUCACGCGGAACAAGCCCCGGCACUUCAACAUGCACAGCACAUUCACGCGCCCUCACUCCAGCUUCGCGUGGACAUUCGCACACUCAAUCCACUCCCAGGCCAGCAAUUUUCCUAAAUAGUGCGCUCCUCUGCACUUAUAAAUAGAACUUCCAGUGAACAAUUCAGAGGACAACAAUUCCAAUCUCUUCAAUUCCUCAAAUCGGCGAAUUCCGCAGGGAGGCAGAAUUCAAGAUUUCAAUUUCGGUUCCUUCUUCCUCUUUUAUUUUCCUUUUAUUAUUUUGUUUUUAAUUCAGCCAAUGAAUGGCUGAUUCUUUUAAUUCUAGUUGAGGAUUGGUUGAAACUAAGGUUGUUUAAUGGGUUGUGAGAUCUGAACAUAAAUUAUUGUCUUUAGUUUUGUUCAAUAUUUUAUGCAAUUGAUACUUUAAUUACAUGAUUACUUUGUUGUUUUGAUCAAAUUGGCCACUUGAUUUUAAUUGCAAAGUUAAUUGAUUGUUAGUUAGCAUUAUUUUUAGUCCGUAAUUGCUGAAAAUAUUCUGACCUUAGAACACUUGGGAUAAAACCCAAGAAAAUUGCAUGAUCUAGCGUUAUCUCCAUACGUUUGGGUAGCUAGGAUUGGAUCUCUCUAUUUCUUUAUGCAAUUGACAAUUGUUUUGAUGCCUAUGGCCCAAGGACGUUCCUUGACAAUUUGUUAAUUAGUAAUUAAUUAGAGGACGUUCCCUAAUUAAUUUAAUCAUAAGGAGAGACAUGGUGGUGAGAAGCGUUUUCCACCCCCAUAACUAAUCUAUUGAACCAAUCAAGAUAAUUUAAGUUUCAAUAAUCAACCCAAACAACCAAAGUGGAUCCAUAUCUUCAACUAGGCUUUUCUCAUAUUGAUUUACUCUUUUAUUUUAAUUAUUUGCUUUCUAUUAUUACUCUCAUUAUUAGUUACUACAAUCAAUCUCAAACCCCCCCAUUUUACUUUUAUUGCAAUUUAUUUUUAUUCUGCUUCCAGUUUAUCUCAUUUGAUCCCAC
rnacentral:lncRNA from 1 species